rnacentral:lncRNA from 1 species
UAUAAACAAUAUCGAUCAUAAUCGAUAGCGUCUUUGAGACCCACUAAUUGAAGAUUCACUGCAACCUUAAACAAGGUUUUUUACUGCAUAAUUAUCACCAGAGGGAAAAUGAAGAGUUUAAGCGUGCAAGAGAAUGAAGGAAGAAUACGGAGAUGGAUGGAUGGAUGGAUGGAUGGAUGGAUGGAUGAGUAGACAGACAGACAGACAGACAGACAGAUAGACAAAGAGAGAUAGAUAGAUAGAUAGAUAGAUAGAUAGAUAGAUAGAUAGAGACAGACAGACAGACAGAUAGAUAGAUAGAUAGAUAGAUAGAUAGAUAGAUAGAUAGAUAGAUAGAUAGAUAGAUAGAUAGAUAGAUAGAUAGAUAGAUAGAUAGAUAGAUAGAUAGUUAGAUAGAUAGACGGACAGACAGUUUCUUUUCCUUGUUUCUUUUCUGUGUAUCUUUCUGUAGAAGAGCGUAGGCUCGAAACGUAAAAGACUAUUUUAUUCCUGAGCACCAUACUAAUACAAUUGUUUGUUUGUACUCCACCUGCCUUCGUCUUUUGUUUAUUUUCAUAAAGCUUCCCGUUAUAUAUAUAUAUAUAUAUAUAUGGCUGUGUAUAUUUGUGUCCUGUGACUGUCCCCACCAGCACCGCUUGACAACCGGUGUUAGUGUGUUUACAUCCCCCGUAACAUUAGCGUUUCGGUAAAAGAGAUCGAUAGAAUAAGUACUAAGCUUACAAAGAAUAAGUCCUGGGGUCGAUUCGUUCGAUUAAAGGUGGUGCUCCGGCAUGGCCGCCGUUAAAUGGCUGAAACAUGUAAAAGAAUAAAAGAAUAAAGUAAAAAAAAAACAGAAAGGAGAGAAAGGAGCGAGAAAAAUGAUUUAUGAAGAAUGGAAGAAUGAUGAAGGAAAAAAGAGAAUGAAAAGGAUAAUGAAAUGAAUGAAAGAAAGAAAAAGGAAAGAGAAAAUGGGCAAGAGGAAAGGAAGGAAAUUUAUGUAUGAAGAAAGAAAAAAUAAUUUGGCGGAAAUGAAGGAAGGAAGGAAGGAAGGAAGGAAGGCAGGAGAGAUAUAAAGAAAGCGUGGAAAGAAAGAAAAAGAGAAAAAUGAAAGAAAGAAAGAAAGAUAGAAAGAAAGUUAGGAAGGAAGAAAGAAAGAAAGAACGAAAGAAAGAAAGAACGUAAGAAAGAAAGAGGGAGAAAGAAUGAAAGAGAAAGAGAAAGAAAAAGAAAGGAAAGAAAGAGAGAAAGGAAGAACGAAUGAAAGAAAGAGGGAGAAAGAAUGAAAGAGAAAGAAAAAGGAAGGAAAGAAGUAAGGAAGGAAAGAAAGAGAGAAAGAAAGAACGAAUGAAAGAAAGAGGGAGAAAGAAUGAAAGAGAAAGAAAAAGGAAGGAAAGGAGUAAGGAAGGAAAGGAAGAGAGAAAGAAAGAACGAAUGAAAGAAAGAGGGAGAAAGAAUGAAAGAGAAAGAAAAAGGAAGGAAAGAAGUAAGGAAGGAAAGAAAGAGAGAAAGAAAGAACGAAUGAAAGGAGGAGGGAGAAAGAAUGAAAGAGAAAGAAAAAGGAAGGGAGGAAAGAAGUAAGGAAGGAAAGAAAGAGAGAAAGAAAGAACGAAUGAAAGAAAGAGGGAGAAAGAAUGAAAGAGAAAGAAAAAGGAAGGAAGGAAAGAAAGAGAGAAAGAAGAGCUGUGAACGAUGUUUAAUUAGAAGCGCAUGAUGUUGGUUAAGUAAAUGAAUAAGAGAACGAAUGAAGGAGUUUUAUUGAUUAAAUUAAUUUGGUUAAUUAAGCGAAAGAAAGACAAAGUUUAUUUUAUAUAUUGGUAAUGAAGUGGAAUUGUACACGUGGUUCUGAUUAUGAUGAUGAUGAUGAUGAUGAUGAUGGUGGUGGUGGUGGUGGUGGUGGUGGUGGUGGUGGUGGUGGUGGUGGUGGUAGUGGUGGUAGUUGUGGUGGUGGUGGUGGUGGUGGUAGUGGUAGUUGUGGUGGUGUGAUGAUGAUGAUGAUGGUGAUGGUGGUGGUGGUGGAGGACGUGAUGGUUGUGAUGAUGGUGAUGAUGAUGAUGAUGAUGAUGGUGGUGGUGGUGGUGGUAGUGGUGGUGGUGGAGGUGGUAUUGGAGUGGUGUUGAGAACGUUGAUCAUAAUAAUUCUCAUUAUCUUCAUCACCAUGAUAAAAAUGACGCCGAUGAUGUCAGAGGUGAUGAUGACGACGACGACAACGACGACGAUGAUGAUGAUGAUGAUGGUGAUGAUGAUUGUGGCAGCAGUGAUGAUGCUGAUGAUUACUGUGAUGAUAACGAUGAUGACAAGCGACUAGAUGAAAAAUGAUGACGCCUUAUCGAUCACCAAAAUCACUGAAAGUGAAUGUAUUAUUAUGUGUGCGUAUGUGUAUGAGUGUGUGUAUGUGUGUGUGUGCGUGUGCGCGCGAUUAUUGAUUGUAAUCCCAUAAAAUCGAUGAAACCAUUCUCAAACCAGUUUAAUAUGUCGUAGAUUUGUUUGCUUUUGAUAAAAUGAAAUGGCGGAUAUUUUGGUC